UUCUUCUGCUUAUCAGGGUUUCUUCCUUUCCUUUUUUUCUGAAAAUUGCAUUUAUUGUGUGACCUAUGUAUUGUCAUUAUUCUUGCUUCAUUGGUCGUGUUGAUAUUCUGGGUUUGGCCCGACAUUGUGUUUUCUUUUGCCUCAUGCCAUUCAUAUUUUGUGGUUGCGUGUGGACAUGAUUUGCGCACUUAUUUCAAUUGUUAGCCGUGUAUCAUGGUGUGCUUUGCCUGCUUUUUCAUGCUUGUGUGAAUUGACCAUGGUCUGUUCUUGUUGGGGGUAAAGCCUGAACUGCCGGGUACACUUUGCUUAUUGUCCUUAUUCUGGUUGUCCUUGGCAUCUUUCUAUCAG
rnacentral:lncRNA from 1 species